GAGCCUUCACAUUCUUGUGCCGAAAAGCAGUUACAGCCUUCAAAUAUUCUUCAUUUGCCAGCUUCCCUAGCACUUGCCGUGUUAAGUCAACUAAGUCGUAUCUAUAUGUAGCACUGUGGACAAGAUUAUCGCCUGCAUUAAGAAGUAGCUGCAAGGCAUUGAUAACCUCCUGAGUGGAAUACCAUAGAUGUGGCUUUUUCAGAUAAGAGCUUGAAGAUGGAUUCCAGUCAGGAAGUCUGACAAUGAAAUCAGUGUUAUGGUCCGCAAUGGCAUCAGUGCAAUUGUAAAUUGUAUGAUAAAGAAUCUUCCAAGCUGCGUCAACAUAAUGAUCUGCUUUGCCGUAACGACAACGGGAAUAGGUCUUCAACCACUCCUGAACUUGAACUUUUUUGCUGCGAAAUGCCAUUUCAGACAUCAAUUCAUAAACAACUGGAUUAUGC
rnacentral:misc_RNA from 1 species